UACGUAGGGCGCAAGCGUUUGUCCGGAAUUAUUGGGCGUAAAGAGCUCGUAGGUGGUUUGUCGCGUCUGCCGUGAAAGCCCCGGGGCUUAACUCCGGGUCUGCGGUGGAUACGGGCAGACUAGAGGCAGGUAGGGGAGAACGGAAUUCCCCGGUGUAGCGGUGAAAUGCGCAGAUAUCGGGAGGAACACCGGUGGCGAAGGCGGUUCUCUGGGCCUGUACUGACGCUGAGGAGCCGAAAGCGUGGGGGAGCGAACAGG
rnacentral:rRNA from 1 species